AGAGUUUGAUCCUGGCUCAGGACGAACGCUGGCGGCGUGCUUAACACAUGCAAGUCGAGGGGAAACGACAUCGAAAGCUUGCUUUUGAUGGGCGUCGACCGGCGCACGGGUGAGUAACGCGUAUCCAACCUGCCCACCACUUGGGGAUAACCUUGCGAAAGUAAGACUAAUACCCAAUGAUAUCUCUAGAAGACAUCUGAAAGAGAUUAAAGAUUUAUCGGUGAUGGAUGGGGAUGCGUCUGAUUAGCUUGUUGGCGGGGUAACGGCCCACCAAGGCGACGAUCAGUAGGGGUUCUGAGAGGAAGGUCCCCCACAUUGGAACUGAGACACGGUCCAAACUCAUACGGGAGGCAGCA
rnacentral:rRNA from 1 species